GAUGAACGCUGGCGGCGUGCCUAAUACAUGCAAGUCGAGCGAACAGACGAGGAGCUUGCUCCUCUGACGUUAGCGGCGGACGGGUGAGUAACACGUGGAUAACCUACCUAUAAGACUGGGAUAACUUCGGGAAACCGGAGCUAAUACCGGAUAAUAUAUUGAACCGCAUGGUUCAAUAGUGAAAGACGGUUUUGCUGUCACUUAUAGAUGGAUCCGCGCCGCAUUAGCUAGUUGGUAAGGUAACGGCUUACCAAGGCAACGAUGCGUAGCCGACGUGAGAGGGUGAUCGGCGACACUGGAACUGAGACACGGUCCAGACUCCUACGGGAGGCAGCAGUAGGGAAUCUUCCGCAAUGGGCGAAAGCCUGACGGAGCAACGCCGCGUGGGUGAUGAAGGUCUGCGGAUCGUAAAACUCUGUUAUUGGGGAAGAACAAAUGUGUAAGUAACUAUGCACGGCUUGACGGUACCUAAUCAGAAAGCCACGGCUAACUACGUG
rnacentral:rRNA from 1 species